rnacentral:lncRNA from 1 species
UUUAUACAUUUUUACACAAGUUUUUCUUCCUAUUAUUUAGUUCAUUAAGUUAGUGGGUAUAAUACUUUCCACUUAACUCUUAAUUUGUGUUAUGUAAAUAAUGUAGGUCCCUCGGAGGAUGAGACAAAGUACAGACACAAGUGCACCAACAAAUAAGUUGUUUCAAUUCAGCAAAAAAGGUAACUUUUAUCAUUAUUUUCCUGUUUCUUAUUUUGUAAGAUCUCUUUUCAAGUUGUGUAAAUGAAAUUAUUUAACAAGACAAUAGGAUUAACACAUGAAAAACUUGAAAGUAUUAAUAACAAGAUAAAGUGUUUGAUAGGUGCUACAAAGAACGUACUAACCUCGACUUAAAGCCAUAAGAGUAGCCUCCAUCUUCUGGUAAAGAUUAAGAUUAGAAGACCAAAGUGCCAUAUUAAUAAAGGGAA